CUGUCCGAUGAAAAAAAAACAACCAAAGAUCACAAUUUAUACAUCACCAAUGUAUUGCAAGCUCAAAAGCAAUAGUCCUGAGUACCAAGCAAAUUAGAACAUUACAAACAUUAUGGAUUAAACAAUGAUAAAUAUUGGUAAUAUUGUCAAGUUCUUUCACAUUGGUAACUUGACACUGGCAACGAGAACUACAAUCCUCUUAGAAUGCUUAUACCAAAAUAUUGUUUACAGUGGGUUCAAUGUUUAGAGUUAGAAGAACAAAGAAAUUCAUGAUAAACUUUAAGGGGAAAAAAGGAUGGACACGAGUAGCUUACUCAGAGCUUAUCUGAGUCAGUGCAUUAAUCAAAACGUCCAAAAGCAAUGGCUCUGUGGUUCCAAUAUCCACCCUGUAAAAGUUUGAUCAACAUCCCUGAGUAUAAGCCAGAUAUUAAACAUCCCAUAGGACCCGUACACUUAAUAGAGAAAUACUCUCAAGCCCAUUAACUAGAAUUUCAAAGCAAUCCUCAUACCAUAUACGUGCCAAGUUGUCUUGAAUCUCAAAAUCUCCAAUAUUGUAAAAUGUAGUUGGUGUCACGUUUGCUCCCUGAAUAGCAUCAUAAUUUGGUCUUUUGUUGAAAGUUGAUUGUGACAACUACAAAGCACAAAAGUGUAAGAAAAGCUAACUAUAGUCAUUUAUAUUUUAUAGCUUUUCCUUAGCCAGAAAGAAAGAAAUAUGCAAGCAUGACAAAUGUACUUGCAAGUAUAUGGUCUACUGUUGGGAAAGUUAAACCUUACAAAGCUAAAUCAGCAAUGCUUCGCGUUCAAGCAAUACAAUAAUAUGCCAUUUCAGUCCUCUAUUGGAAAAAAAGUUUACCUGCAUAUUCAUGGAAUUGCAUCCACCAAGGCGUCCAAUUAUGUGCCAUGCCCGUAUUGCCUGCAUACAAGCAAGAUCAACCAAACAAUUAAAUUUCAUAGACAAAUAUCAAUUUUUUGUUUAAGAGAAGUUACUUACAUCACAAAUUAAGGUGAUAUCUUUUUCCAGUGGAGCAUUGUAGAACUCAAACCAUAUGUAUGAGUUUGAGAAAUCAAAUCUGGUGACGCCAGCCAUAGAGUAGUUUACUUAGUAGAUUUCCAAAUUAUGAAAUGAGAAAAAAGGCAUCAUAAAAUAGGAAAGGGCAAAUAAAUUAUAAUCAUAUACAUGCUUGGAAAGUCACAGCUCUUGGAGACCUUAAAAUUGCCUUAAGUUUUCCCCCAAGAAUAAGAAAAAUAUAUUCCAGAAUUGUCAGCAAUCAAGGAAAUUUAGAAUCAAUUGACAAUUAGGAUAAAUUUGGCAAACACAGAAUAUGUCCAAAUUAUUACAGUGUACAAUACCUACCAUUUCUAUCAAUUGUGCAAUAUCUUGGCAGAGUAUGAGUCCUUAAAAAAAGCAACAAGACCAAUUCCUUUCAAGUCUAACUCUCAUCUAUAGUCUCUAUAUAUAAUUCAAUGAGAGUAGUUUAUUUAGUAGAUUUCCACCAAGCUGGAUUAGCAACACAAAACAAGCUUUCAUACUAUGUAUUGAAAAUUUCAAAUCCUUCCUCACCUUACAAAACUAUUAGAGAUACAAAGAAGUGAAACCAAUCAGCAAAGAAAAAACUUCAGAGUGAAAACAAUGAAGGCUAAAUGAUUUCGAAUGAACUUAAGAACUUAGAGGCAAUGAUAUAAAACAUGCAUAUACGUGUUUAUAUAAAGGAACUUGAAUAUAAUAGGCAUUUCACAUGACAUUAAACAGCAUCUAGGCACACUUACUUGUUGAAUGUGACCUUCAUAGGUAUAGCUGAACCCGUCUUUGUGUGCAAAACCUUGUUUCUUUUCCUCCUCAAUCUCUCCUCCAUUUUACUUUGAGCUUUUUGUGGGUCAUCAAGACAACUCCCAAGAAUCUCAGCAAAUUCAGGAUCUUUGUCAUAAUUCUUCUCUUCUUCCCUCCCGCUAAAUCUACCCUGCGACGGGAAUUCAUUUUCACCAUCAUCAUCGUCAUUAUAAUAAUCACCACCAUUCUCUUGCUCUUCUUCGAACUCUCUCUUUACACCUUGAUUGCUCCUUCUCUGAGCACGAUUUAGUUUAGCACCAAAGAAUGAAAUACCGGUUCGAGCAUAGUGGUUCUGUUUUGGAAAUGCAACGGUUGGAACUUGGGGGAAAGAGAAGAGGUGCAAGGAAAUUUGAGAGCUGAGUGUGCGCUUGGGAUAAAGAGAUGAUGAGCAUGGCUGAAAGAUGAGCAUUUGGGAAGGAAGAAGCGAGUUUCAGCCAGAGUUAGAUAGCGCUAGGGCUUUGAAGAGUAUGGAUUCCGUAGACAGUAGUGAGAUUGUUGCUUCUUCUUCCUCUGGAUAGGGUUUGUACCGCAUGAACCAUACUAAACCCUUGAGCUUUAGAAUCA
rnacentral:misc_RNA from 1 species